rnacentral:rRNA from 1 species
UUGAACGCUGGCGGAAUGCUUUACACAUGCAAGUCGAGCGGCAGCGCGGGGGCAACCCUGGCGGCGAGCGGCGAACGGGUGAGUAACAUAUCGGAACGUACCCUAUCGUGGGGGAUAACACAUCGAAAGCUGUGCUAAUACCGCAUACGACCUGAGGGUGAAAGCAGGGGAUCGCAAGACCUUGCGCGACAGGAGCGGCCGAUAUCGGAUUAGCUAGUUGGUGAGGUAAAGGCUCACCAAGGCGACGAUCCGUAGCUGGUCUGAGAGGACGACCAGCCACACUGGAACGGAGACACGGGCCAGACUCCUACGGGAGGCAGCAGUGGGGAAUUUUGGACAAUGGGGGCAACCCUGAUCCAGCCAGGCCGCGUGAGUGAAGAAGGCCUUCGGGUUGUAAAACUCUUGCGGCAGGAACGAAACGGUGAGCUCUAACAUAGCGUGCUAAUGACGGUACCGGAAGAAGAAGCACCGGCUAACUACGU